CCAAUAGCGUAUAUUAAAGUUGUUGCAGUUAAAAAGCUCGUAGUUGAAUUUCGGGAUCUGUCCAUUGGUCGGGCUUCACGGUCCGUACUGGUGAGAUGGGUUCCUACCUUCUGAAUAACCAGCAUGCCAUUCAGUUGGUGCGCUGGGGAAGCCGAGCUAUUACCUUGAAAAAAUUAGAGUGCUUAAAGCAGGCUAGUGCUUGAACAGAUUAGCAUGGAAUAAUAAAAUAGGACGGCAUGGUUCUAUUUUGUUGGUUUCUAGGAUCACCGUAAUGAUUAAUAGGGAUAGUUGGGGGCAUUAGUAUUCAAUUGUCAGAGGUGAAAUUCUUGGAUUUAUUGAAGACUAACUUCUGCGAAAGCAUUUGCCAAGGAUGUUUUCAUUAAUCAAGAACGAAAGUUAGGGGAUCGAAGACGAUCAGAUACCGUCGUAGUCUUAACCAUAAACUAUGCCGACUAGGGAUCGGACGAUGUUAAUUUUUUAAUGACUCGUUCGGCGCCUUACG
rnacentral:rRNA from 1 species